rfam:Punica granatum cultivar Dabenzi scaffold28, whole genome shotgun sequence.
UAAGCAGGGAAAUGUGUGUAUCGGCUUUGCGCGAUCAAAGAUCAGAUGCGCUCUGCUGAAAGGUAAUACCUGCGACAUUGAUUGAGGGGAAGAUGGGCAGUUGUGAUUCAAACUCUCCUGUUGAAUCUUUCAACAAUCAUCUUCCCCAUAUUC